rnacentral:rRNA from 1 species
GAUGAACGCUGGCGGCGUGCCUAAUACAUGCAAGUCGAGCGAACAGACGAGGAGCUUGCUCCUCUGACGUUAGCGGCGGACGGGUGACUAACACGUGGAUAACCUACCUAUAAGACUGGGAUAACUUCGGGAAACCGGAGCUAAUACCGGAUAAUAUAUUGAACCGCAUGGUUCAAUAGUGAAAGACGGUUUUGCUGUCACUUAUAGAUGGAUCCGCGCCGCAUUAGCUAGUUGGUAAGGUAACGGCCUACCAAGGCAACGAUGCGUAGCCGACCUGAGAGGGUGAUCGGCCACACUGGAACUGAGACACGGUCCAGACUCCUACGGGAGGCAGCAGUAGGGAAUCUUCCGCAAUGGGCGAAAGCCUGACGGAGCAACGCCGCGUGAGUGAUGAAGGUCUUCGGAUCGUAAAACUCUGUUAUUAGGGAAGAACAAAUGUGUAAGUAGCUAUGCACGUCUUGACGGUACCUAAUCAGAAAGCCACGGCUAACUACGUG